CUGAGAGGUGGUGUAAUCACUGUUUAUAAAUACACAAAGUGGAUGAGAUCAGACUCUCUUCAGUGGUGUUCAGUGAAAGGACAAAGGGCAGAGGGCAAAAACUGCAACACAGUUUAUGUAGUUAUUGUACAUGCUUUCUAGUGACAUCACUAGAAAUCAGUAGCACCAUACAGCAUGCAAGCUAGAGAUCCUCUGGCAAACACCAUGUCCUGUUGACUGUAGCAUAUCGGUAACAGGCGGUCAUUGGUUGUGUCCUGUUUGUUAAUGCAGGUAUCAAGCAAUACCUGCUGAUACUGAUCAACACUUGCAAACACAACAUUGCUAGCAACUGGCUGCCCUUUGGAUUUUGAGCUCUUUGAGGCUGGCGGUCCAGAUAGGGUUUUACGCACACAAGCCGUACCUUCCCAAGCAGGAUGAAAAAACGCUUUGUGAAACUAUGGCCAAAAAAAAAAAUAAUAAAAUACUGAAGUCAAAGUGAUGGCAUCCACUUCUGUCCUUUUGUGUACUGAACCAGUCAUCAGCUUUCUUUCCUUUGUGUGUUCAGAAAUGAUGUUCAGUAGAUUUACUCCAUAAUCUUCUCAGGAAUUGAGGGUUUCAGAGAAUAGAAAGAAACUGCAAAGGAAGGAACCCCUAAAUGUGACUUAGUGCAGAGGACAAACUCCAUAACUGUGCACAGGACAAAGCAGACAGGCCUGCGUGAAUGGCAAGCUGAAUGAAAUUCCCCAGUACCUUUCAGCGUACCGACUCUGCACCCACCCGAAGUGUUUUUGUAGGAAAAUACGUCGUGAUGAUCCGUGGAGGAGGCUCCUCCAGCAGGUGGAGCUGUACGUUUUACUUUAUCUGCACGACUGAAAAGGAAUCUGUCGACGUCAACAAGUUGUCUGAGGGAAAUGACGAUCUGAUUUGGAGCUUGUUUUUGGAGCCCCAAACACGCAUGUAAAUACAGAUCAGGCCUUUGCAAAACAACAAGGUGCCUGUGAGGUCCUGCAGAAGAAACUGUCUUUAGAAGAAUGGUUAAAGGAAGUAAUGCUAGAAAUAGGCUUGAAAGAAGAAAUAGAGGAAUAAUGAAAUAGGAGAGAAGUAAUAAAUAUGGAACAAAUAAAUAUAAACAUGUUAGUACAGUUGCCUGAGGAAUUCCCUAGUAAAUUAGGAACUGCAGAUAGCUUUAUAGCAGUCUUUUGAGAGAGAUUCAGGCAAACACACUUCUCUGGCAGUGGGGAAAGCUUAUCCUUCUCUGCCAUUUUUUGUUUGUAUUCCUUCUCCAGAGGACCUGUGCUUUUUUCUUCCCACUUCCCUGCCAUAAGCAGAUCGACUAGUCUGUUCUUCCUUUCUUAUGCACAUGUAACCAUCCCAACCAUCUAUCUGCUGUUCAGAAAUAGCCACCAGAGGUACUUCCCAAUUCUCCUCUUUUCUGGCUUGUCUGGAAACUUCAUAAUUAGUAUCUAAAGUUCCUUUCAAUGCAAAAGUUAGUAUUUUUAUUAAUUUCCGUUGUCAUUCUCCCCUCAAACCGAUUUUUUGCACUUUCUCUCUUCACACUAAAAAGCAUAUUUAGAGCAAAAAAAAACCUCACAACCCUAUACACAGCAGAGCAAAUUCAAUGACAGGAUGAUUUUCUUCAUUGCUAUGUAAAGAAAACAAGCAACUGAAUACCUUUUGAAGGAAGUUUAUAGUGCCAUUUAGGCAAUUCCCUGAGCUGGGUGAACCAGUGCAAAUCUGUAGAGGUUAGUGGAGAUUCACUGCCCAUGUAAUUCUGGAUGAAGUCUGUUCCUUCUAGCAGUGCAUGUUACAGGCUGAUAUAUUUUAUUGCCUUUAGCAUGUUAUCAAGUUGUCUCCUUGAUAAAUGAAUAAUGCGGUUUCUAAAGAGCUAAUUGAUAUUACACUGCUAGAGACACAAUUUAAUUAAGAAUACUAUAAUUGUUUCAAGAAAGAUUCCAAUUUAUGCACUUAGAAGAAAAACUUCUGAACGGUUGUUCUUAUAGGAUGUACAUUUCAAGAUUAUAUAUAUUCUAAUCAAUUCAAACUUUUUGUGAAAUGCAUUUUUUUUUCUUACAGAAUCCAUAGUUUUAUGUUUCCAUUUUCUUGUUUCUUUUUUCUUGAUGUAUUUUUUGAUUUUAUAGUGAGGAUGCCUCAGAUAGGUAAUGAGAUGAAAGCUGCUGAUAUUGUUCAUCUUCCAUCACUCAGAGUCAUUAAAAUAUAGAAGGACUGUGACAUAAAAGCAAAUCAGAAACUCUGCUAUUGAUUUUAAAGACCUGAUUGUAAAAUUGCAUGUGUAAUGUAAUUUAGAACUUUAGUAUAAAUGGAGAACUGUAACUAUAACUGGAGAACAUAAAUGUAGAAAUACAUUUAUGUUCUGAAAUUGAGCCGUUGGGUUACAUCUUUCACACAUGUUUUGAGACUCUUCCAGAUUAAGACCUCUGCCUCUGCUUCUUAAUCAAGACUUCUCUUGUUAAGAUAUAAGGCAUUCCCUGAUCUAACCUCAUUCAUUCACAGAUGGCUCUUGAAGCAGAUUAUGCCAUUCUGCAGAGGGAAUAAUUUACUACAGUCACUUACUGUAGUGUCUAAGUGUCAAGUGGGAGGGGAAACAUCUUUUGUUUAAUUUUGCAUUGAUAUCUACAGUGACUGCUGUAGGGAAAUACAGCCCAUUGUAGACUCCCAGGCCAUACUGAGCUCCAGGCCUGUGGGGCAUAGCAAUGCUUUAUAAUGGAGCUUACCAGCAGGCUCCACAGUUUGAUUAAAAUGUUACUGCUUCUCUCUGUGUUAUAACAUAAAUUGGGGAAUUCCCCCUUGGUCAUAAUGCCAUGAGCCUUUGCAAAUUUUGUUUGACAAUGGCCCGCAGGACCAUUCAGCCAGAAUAAUUGGAAAUGUCAACUUCUGUGCAACUUUGGAGCGCUUCCUAACUGAACUUUUUGGAGUUGGGCAAAAUACAGAAUUUGAAGCUGUGCUCUUUGUGUUCUCUAACACAGUUUAUUGGCAACAAAGAGGUGCAGAGCCUUUUUUUUUUUUUUUUAAUCAGAAGGACUUUGGUUUUUACUUGUAUGAAAUGAACAAUGUUAACUAGAUAUGCAGCCAGAAUUUCAAUGUGCUAAAACAAUGCGAUGUAUACCCCACUCUCUUCAUGGCUUCAGUGGCUGUGAUGAGACCAUGGGACUGAAAUCUACUGCCUUAAUAUCUCCACAUGUAGAAUGAACUUGCAUGAAACUGUGCUUUCAAUAACAUAGUAAAAUUAAAAUAAUUAAAUAUUCAUUUCCUUAUUGUUGGAA